UACGUAGGUGGCGAGCGUUAUCCGGAAUUAUUGGGCGUAAAGAGCGCGCAGGUGGUUGAUUAAGUCUGAUGUGAAAGCCCACGGCUUAACCGUGGAGGGUCAUUGGAAACUGGUCGACUUGAGUGCAGAAGAGGGAAGUGGAAUUCCAUGUGUAGCGGUGAAAUGCGUAGAGAUAUGGAGGAACACCAGUGGCGGAGGCGGCUUCCUGGUCUGUAACUGACACUGAGGCGCGAAAGCGUGGGGAGCAAACAGGAUUAGAUA
rnacentral:rRNA from 1 species